rnacentral:rRNA from 1 species
GACGAACGCUGGCGGCGUGCUUAACACAUGCAAGUCGAACGGAAAGGCCUUUUCGGGGGUACUCGAGUGGCGAACGGGUGAGUAACACGUGGGUGAUCUGCCCUGCACUCUGGGAUAAGCCUGGGAAACUGGGUCUAAUACCGGAUAGGACCGCACUUUAGUGUGUGUGGUGGAAAGUUGUUUCGGUGUAGGAUGAGCCCGCGGCCUAUCAGCUUGUUGGUGGGGUAAUGGCCUACCAAGGCGGCGACGGGUAGCCGGACUGAGAGGUUGGUCGGCCACAUUGGGACUGAGGUACGGCCCAGACUCCUACGGGAGGCAGCAGUGGGGAAUAUUGCACAAUGGGCGCAAGCCUGAUGCAGCGACGCCGCGUGGGGGAUGACGGCCUUUGGGUUGUAAACUCCUUUCGCCAGGGACGAAGCGUUUUGUGACGGUACCUGGAGAAGAAGCACCGGCUAACUACGUG